UUAAAAGUGGCUUCUUCCAGAGCAUCUCUGUGGACUUCCCCAGGAGCCAGAACAGAAAGCAAGAGAGAUGGUGUUCAUAUUAUCACCUGAUGUGGAAGCUGUGUUGGUGGUGGUCUGAACGCAUGUCCUAAAUAUGUCUCUGGUUAUCUUCUUAUCAUGUUUGAUACUUUAGGGUUUGAAAUCCAGAGUUGGAUCCAAAGAUUGCAGCUUCAGGUCCCCUUUAAUUUGCACCAGAAUUCAUGCCUUUGUUGAAAGGUGACAUUUUUGCCAUUGCUAUCAUCAGUAGGGGUUUUUCUAUGAAAAAGCAGCAUUUCAACAGGAAGAAAAUCACAAAAUGAUUGUGAUUCUGCAGUGAAAAACCUCAGGCUGAUGAACUGCUAUGACAGUGUUAAUGUCAGGAAGAGAUCUUCUCCUGUGAAAAAAUUCACCCAGUAGGAGAGGGCUUUAAACCAGCAGAACUCAUUUCAGGGUCCAAGAAAGGAAUCCAUACAUGAGAAAAUGGACUGAGAACAACAGAAUUAAUUUCACACAGCGAUGUACUGCCUUGGAAAUGGGCUGAAACUGGAAGAAUUUACUGACAUAUUCAACCCAGAUCUACCAUGUGAAACAAAUGCUUUAUCUCUGGAAACAGGUACUCCCAACAUGCUUGUAAUUUAACAGAUGUGGCUGAUCUGAACUGGGAGGAUUCAGCCUUACCUCAUUCCUAAUCUAUGCUGCUAUCGGUUGAAUUUGGGGUAUGUGAUAAUCUGAUAGAAAUGUUAGAGAGCUGUUUGUUCAGCCAUUUAUAUACAUCUGCAAUCCUAAGGAAAAAAAACAGUGCAUGCAUUUCAACCAGUUGAUGACAAGUUAGAGCAGUUUAAUAAAUCACUCAUAAUAAACUUUGUUAUGUGCCGAUGGAAACACCAGAGAGCUCUUUAAUAAGCCAUUCAUGAUAAAACAGCCAACACUUAAAUAACGGAAAGUCAUAUGCAGGGCUUGUUGAUGUGUUCUGACCAUGCUCUGCUGUACAUUACUUCCCAGGUAUGUCUGUAUUAGCAUACACUAUCUAGAAUAUGUAUAAAGCUGUUAUUAACUGUAACUCACUGAGAAGGCAGCCCUUCCUGAAACCUCACCCCAUCAAUUAAAAGCCUUGAAUUAGGCUGUAUCUACAUUGGUUCCCCACCCUCCUUAAAAUUUCCCAUUCUUUUUACCACCGAUUCACCUUACUGGUGCUAGCAAAGGUGGGGGUGCUAGUAAAGAUGGCACUUCAGGCAGCCACUGAUGGUUUCCCCAUUUAAGAUUGCAAAAAUCUAGUUUUAGAAGAAAAGCAAUAACUCUCCCUAACUCCAUGCACUCAGCAUAUCCUGAAACUCUUGCUGCUGCUUGUUGCUUUGUUUCCAAAGCUCUUGAAAAUGCAGCAACUUAAAAGUAUUUAUAGGGCCUUGUAGGUGAAGACAAAAGACAUGAAUUUGAUGGGGUAAGAGGCAGGAAGCUGAGAGGUGGAUUUCAAGAGGAUAAAGUUCUGGAGUGUGCCUUUAGCAGUGGUGUUUUAGGCAGCCAGGCAGAUUUCAGGUCGGUGAGAGGGACUUAGGCCAGAUUCAUAGACAAUCAAAGAACAUAGGUGCUUGAACAGACACUGUGGGCCAAAGAUAACCAAUGCUAGCCCCUAAAAAGAAACAUUCAGACAACAUUAGCAACAGUGACAACCAACAACUUGUGCACUGGAGUUUUCAGCUAGUCCUUUUGAAGCAAUGGGCAGCUUCCACAGGUGGAGUGACUUGAUUUAGAUAAACACUCAAAAAGUUUGGGAAUUUUAUAGAUAUUUUGGUUUAGAAACUGGGCUAGAUAUUAUGCAAGCUCAGGUGUUCCCAUGGGAUUUCUAGCAAUUAUCACUCUUUUAGCCAAAUCUGAAAUAUUGGGAUUAGAGCCUCUUGCCAUAUUGUUGCACUGUCUGAUCCCAGCCAAAUCCAGGAACACACAGAGACAGCUGCAAACAUGGGGGUGGGGGAAUGAACAAACAACAAAUCAAACUUUUUUCUGACUUUUUUUGAGGAAAGAUUCAGAUUCUGCUGGAGAUGUGGGGAGUCAAAACAAGCUCACUGUCGAGCCUGGGUCACACUCAGUGCAGCUUCAGAAAUGUCAGGCACAAGUUUUGUAUGUCCGAGAUAUUUGUACUGAAGUGUGAAAAAUGGCUUGUGCAACUACGUGAGAAAAAUGGACUGGUUUUGGAGGCUGCUUUUGCUAGCUUGCCCCUUUAUCUACUGGAGGCUUUUCUAGAGCAUCCAGCAGUAGCCGAGGAGUGGGAGACAGCAAGAGAGACAGAAAAGCCUCCCCCUCAUCUAUAGUUGAUUCAGAGGAGGAUUAAUUGUUUUUGAGCUGGUGCUGCUGAUCUCCACCAGGUGCGGUUCCUAGCAAGACUUGGCAGGAGUCAAUGGGUGCUGCACUGAUAUUUGUUUUGGCCAUUUCUUUAUUCAAAUGCUCUGAUAGAGAUGAAUUUACUUUGCUCUGUGCUUUAUUCCUGUAUCACCUGCCUUGAAAUGGGAACUCUGAGCAAUGGAUUGCCUACUAUUAGAUUGAGUACAGCUUCUGACUUUCCUGUCCCUGUGAGCUCAUUUCCAUAUAAUCACCACUGCAUCUACUUGUGAUAUGCCUUGUCAAUAACAUAGAUCUACUUGCAUCUAUAUGCUGUUAAUCUGCUUGCAAACUGCCAAGUAAUUAACUUGCUACCACAUGCUAAUUGCAUGUUAUUAACCUGCAUGGACAACAUGCUAUUUGCCAUGUAUUUAAGUGAACACAAAGCAGCAUGUGCAGCAAGACAGCUGGAAAAAGCUACUUCGAGGAAGAGAAUUUGAUGGAUCCUGGAGGAAAUCUCCAAAACAAUAUACAAUAGAUUAUCUUCUGCAGCCACAGGUUUCAAAACACACUUCCGGGCCAGCAGCUCAGUGAAUUGACUGCUGCCAUUGGGAG